CUACGGAGGAUCCGAGCGUUAUCCGGAUUUAUUGGGUUUAAAGGGUGCGCAGGCGGGAGAUUAAGUCGGCGGUGAAAUUUUGCAGCUCAACUGUAAAAGUGCCUUCGAAACUGGUUUCCUUGAGUGUAGAUGAAGUAGGCGGAAUUUGUGGUGUAGCGGUGAAAUGCAUAGAUAUCACGAGGAACUCCGAUUGCGCAGGCAGCUUACUAAACUACUACUGACGCUCAGGCACGAAGGCGUGGGGAUCAAACAGGAUUAGAUACCCUGGUAGUCCACGCAGUAAACGAUGAUUACUAGCUGUUUGCGAUACAAUGUAAGCGGCUGAGCGAAAGCGUUAAGUAAUCCACCUGGGGAGUACGUUCGCAAGAAUGAAACUUAAAGGAAUUGACGGGG
rnacentral:rRNA from 1 species